rnacentral:rRNA from 1 species
GAUGAACGCUAGCGGGAGGCUUAAUACAUGCAAGUCGAGGGGUAACAGGGGCUUCGGCCCGCUGACGACCGGCGCACGGGUGAGUAACGCGUACGCAACUUACCUCCAAGCGAGGGAUAGCCCUGGGAAACUGGGAUUAAUACCUCAUGUGAUUAUGAUGCCGCAUGGUGUUAUAAUUAAAGUUCAGGCGCUUGGAGAUGGGCGUGCGUCCUAUUAGCUAGUUGGUGAGGUAACGGCUCACCAAGGCGACGAUAGGUAGGGGGCGUGAGAGCGUGGCCCCCCACACGGGUACUGAGACACGGACCCGACUCCUACGGGAGGCAGCAGUAAGGAAUAUUGGACAAUGGACGGAAGGUCUGAUCCAGCCAUGCCGCGUGAAGGAAGAAGGACGCUUCAGCGUUGUAAACUUCUUUUGGA